rnacentral:rRNA from 1 species
AGUGAACGCUGGCGGUAGGCCUAACACAUGCAAGUCGAACGGCAGCACAGUAAGAGCUUGCUCUUACGGGUGGCGAGUGGCGGACGGGUGAGGAAUACAUCGGAAUCUACUUUUUCGUGGGGGAUAACGUAGGGAAACUUACGCUAAUACCGCAUACGACCUACGGGUGAAAGCAGUAGAUCUUCGCACCUUGCGCGAUUGAAUGAGCCGAUGUCGGAUUAGCUAGUUGGCGGGGUAAAGGCCCACCAAGGCGACGAUCCGUAGCUGGUCUGAGAGGAUGAUCAGCCACACUGGAACUGAGACGCGGUCCAGACUCCUACGGGAGGCAGCAGUGGGGAAUAUUCGGCAAUGGGCGCAAGCCUGAUCCAGCCACACCGCGUGGGUGAAGAAGGCCUUCGGGUUGUAAAGCCCUUUUGUUGGGAAAGAAAAGCAGCAGGAUAAUACAUCGCUGUUCUGACGGUACCCAAAGAAUAAGCACCGGCUAACUUCGUG